rnacentral:rRNA from 1 species
UUAAUGGAGAGUUUGAUCCUGGCUCAGGACGAACGCUGGCGGCGUGCCUAAUACAUGCAAGUCGAACGAAGAGAUUAAAAAGCUUGCUUUUUAUGAUCUUAGUGGCGGACGGGUGAGUAACACGUAGGUAACCUGCCUGUAAGACUGGGAUAACUAGUGGAAACAUUAGCUAAUACCAGAUAAGGUCAUUUCAUCGCAUGAUGGAGUGAAGAAAGAGGGUUUCGGCUCUCACUUACAGAUGGACCUGCGGCGCAUUAGCUAGUUGGUGAGGUAAGGGCUCACCAAGGCGACGAUGCGUAGCCGACCUGAGAGGGUGAUCGGCCACACUGGGACUGAGACACGGCCCAGACUCCUACGGGAGGCAGCAGUAGGGAAUCUUCCGCAAUGGACGAAAGUCUGACGGAGCAACGCCGCGUGAGUGAUGAAGGUUUUCGGAUCGUAAAGCUCUGUUGCCAGGGAAGAGAAGGC